AGAGAGAGCGAGAGCGAGAGCAAGCGUUAACAAGCUGUAAAUAAGAAUUGCAUACAAACCAUAAGGUAUUUAUAUGCUUUCAUCUGUGUUUAGGAACCAUUGCUUGGUGCAGUGGUAAAAAUUUUGGGCUUUCAAGCACGUUGUUGCAGAUCUGAAGUUGUGACAGCAAGUUUUUCAUACAAAAUUGUUAGACGUAGAAUUCAUAUUCUUCCUUCCAAUUCCCCAUGUCAUGGGACCAUAACUGGGUGAUGGCUUUUUCACUUUGGCUUAUGUGCUUUAAAUGUUGAAAUUCAUGUGUAAAAGGAGUUGAAUAUGAACUGGAGAAAGUCAACUACUUUUGCUUCAUUUGUUAUGUGAACUUUUCAUGUUUGGCUCCUAUAAUAUAUCAUUGUUAUCAUGCAUUUUUGUGACUAUUACAGUUUAUAUGUAGGAUGAUAUUGGGAUGUGAAAUCUAAAUCUAAUGAGCAAAGCUGCUAGCUUUUCUAGGAUGUAGGAAGUUUGAGAGUUCUGUGGGUAUUAGAAUUUCUCUACAUUGGCUGAUUCUUCUUUUUCCAUUUUUCCUUUUCUUUU
rnacentral:misc_RNA from 1 species